AGAGUUUGAUCCUGGCUCAGGAUGAACGCUAGCUACAGGCUUAACACAUGCAAGUCGAGGGGAAACGAUGAGAGAGCUUGCUCUCUUAGGUGUCGACCGGCGCACGGGUGAGUAACGCGUAUCCAACCUGCCUCUGACCAAGGGAUAACCCGUCGAAAGUCGGACUAAUACCUUAUGUAGUCGUCGGAAGUCAUCUGAUGACGACGAAAGAUUUCAUCGGUGAGGGAUGGGGAUGCGUCUGAUUAGCUUGUUGGCGGGGUAACGGCCCACCAAGGCUACGAUCAGUAGGGGUUCUGAGAGGAAGGUCCCCCACAUUGGAACUGAGACACGGUCCAAACUCCUACGGGAGGCAGCAGUGAGGAAUAUUGGUCAAUGGGCGAGAGCCUGAACCAGCCAAGUAGCGUGCAGGAUGACGGCCCUAUGGGUUGUAAACUGCUUUUAUGCGGGGAUAAAGUGAGGGACGUGUCCUGUUGCAUGUACCCUUGGAAUAAGGACCGGCUAAUUCCGUGCCAGCAGCCGCGGUAAUACGGAAGGUCCGGGUGUUAUCCGGAUUUAUUGGGUUUAAAGGGAGCGUAGGCCGCAGGUUAAGUGUGUUGUGAAAAGCAGUCGCCCAACGUCUGCCUUGCAGCGCAAACUGUCCUGCUUGAGUGCGCACAACGCAGGCGGAAUUCGUCGUGUAGCGGUGAAAUGCUUAGAUAUGACGAAGAACUCCGAUUGCGAAGGCAGCUUGCGGGAGCGCAACUGACGCUGAAGCUCGAAAGUGCGGGUAUCGAACAGGAUUAGAUACCCUGGUAGUCCGCACGGUAAACGCUGGAUGCCCGUUUUUGGCUUAUUUUAAGUCAGAGACCAAGCGAAAGCAUUAAGCAUCCCACCUGGGGAGUACGCCGGCAACGGUGAAACUCAAAGGAAUUGACGGGGGCCCGCACAAGCGGAGGAACAUGUGGUUUAAUUCGAUGAUACGCGAGGAACCUUACCCGGGCUUGAAUUGCCAGAGACGGCUCCAGAGAUGGAGCUUCCCUUCGGGGCUCUGGUGAAGGUGCUGCAUGGUUGUCGUCAGCUCGUGCCGUGAGGUGUCGGCUUAAGUGCCAUAACGAGCGCAACCCCUUUCUUCAGUUGCCAUCGGGUAAUGCCGGGCACUCUGUAGAUACUGCCGCCGUAAGGUGU
rnacentral:rRNA from 1 species